rnacentral:hammerhead_ribozyme from 1 species
ACACUGCUGAGGAGUCCCAAAAUAGGACGAAACGGCCGUCCAGUGC